GACGAACCGAAGCGAACGUUGUUCGGAAUCACUGGGCUUAAAGGGCGCGUAGGCGGGCCGCCGCGUCCGGGGUGAAAUCCCACGGCUCAACCGUGGAACGGCCCCGGGUACGGGCGGCCUCGAGGGGGGUAGGGGCGUGCGGAACUGUGGGUGGAGCGGUGAAAUGCGUUGAUAUCCACAGGAACUCCGGUGGCGAAGGCGGCACGCUGGACCCCCACUGACGCUGAGGCGCGAAAGCCAGGGGAGCGAACGGG
rnacentral:rRNA from 1 species